GGUUUACCUGUGUGACUGCGUACCUUUUGUAUAAUGGGUCAGCGACUUAUAUUCUGUAGCAAGGUUAACCGUAUAGGGGAGCCGUAGGGAAACCGAGUCUUAACCGGGCGUUAAGUUGCAGGGUAUAGACCCGAAACCCGGUGAUCUAGCCAUGGGCAGGUUGAAGGUUGGGUAACACUAACUGGAGGACCGAACCGACUAAUGUUGAAAAAUUAGCGGAUGACCUGUGGCUGGGGGUGAAAGGCCAAUCAAACCGGGAGAUAGCUGGUUCUCCCCGAAAGCU
rnacentral:rRNA from 1 species